CAGCACCUCAAGUGGUCAGGAUGAUUAUUGGGCCUAAAGCAUCCGUAGCCGGCUCUGUAAGUUUUCGGUUAAAUCUGUACGCUCAACGUACAGGCUGCCGGGAAUACUGCAGCGCUAGGGAGUGGGAGAGGUAGACGGUACUCGGUAGGAAGGGGUGAAAUCCUUUGAUCUAUUGAUGACCACCUGUGGCGAAGGCGGUCUACCAGAACACGUCCGACGGUGAGGGAUGAAAGCUGGGGGAGCAAACCGGAUUAGAUACCCGAGUAGUCC
rnacentral:rRNA from 1 species